CCUUCUAUCUAGCUUUCAACAUCACUCGUAACCAAUCGACCAUACUAAAAUUUCGGAUUUCAAUACGUUCUUGAAGAUGAGAUCAAGACGUUUUGAAUAAUGAGGUGCAUGUAAUAAGAAAAGUGCUACCUGUAUAAUUGACACAUUUGAGGAAUACAAGUGCAAGUAGCCUAAGAGAAAACAAAGCAGGUCAUUAUCAUAUGCAUGUUGAGUCAUUUAAAUUGCGUUGUUUUUCUUUCUUGCGCGCAGAGCAAACAAAACCAAGCAAUGACUCAACCAAGGUGGCCAAGAUGAUGAUGAUUCAGAUUCCUCUUCCUCUUCCAAAUUUUGCUAUCCACAAAGCCACCUCUUUAGGUCUGAGCACUGUGGCUGUGGACCUGCAGUGGCCAAUCGAGCAAUAAUCCAAGGCAGAGAAAAAACCAGUGAUUUCAGAUGGGAAAACACAACCAAAAACUGAGCCCUCAAACAGUUUCGCCUAACCUGGACCUGACUCAGCAGCACACAGACAUCGCUCUCUGGAUUAUCUAGUAUCUACCACAUGUCGGACCAAUCCAAAACUCCAUAUAUUCUUGUAUUCAAUCAUUGAGUUUCUGAUGAAAGCAAGCAAGCAGGAUCGAGCAAAAGGUGGUUUGUGGUCUGUGGACGUUGGCAUGAGGUGGCUUCUUAUAAUUCCACACUGAUUCCACGUCCCUUGUAACCUUGUUUCUCUCCAAUCCCCAGAUAUGGCCACAAUUCCCACAAAUUUACCUAUAUACUAAAGCUUGGUCUACUGUUUAUAUCUACUGUUUAUAAGUUGCUCGCUCGAAGUUGCUCGAAGUUGCUCACUCGACAGUUUAUAUAUAAGCAAGCACAGGUUAAGGUUAAUAAUGUGUUUUUAUGUUAAUUAAUAAUGUGUUUUUAUGUGAUGACCACUUUAUCCCUGUUGUGUUUAGAAAAUCACAAUAUAAAUAUGUAGAGCAGAUGUCGACAAAUCCUAAAUAAACUGUGAAUGAUCGAGAACGAUCUGGACGCCCGAUUAAGCACCGACCUUCUUCAAAACAAAGUGAAAAGUUUGCAAAUUUUCUAACUGUGCAUGAUAUACUAGAAGAGAUUCUAGAAGAACCCAGACCGAAAAGAGAGUGAGAAAAACCCAGGCAGAAGAGAUGGUCUACAAACCCAGACAGAAGAGAAAGUGAGAGAGAAAAGAAGAGAGCAGAAGAAACAGGGCGAAAGAAAGUGAAAGAGAAAAGAGAGCAAACGCCCGAUUCAGAUCCAAGCAGCCAAACUCAGAGCAAAAAUUUUGUAUGUUUGUUCCCGGCAAAUUUCGUUUUUUACUCCAGUGGUAGCAGGUUGUUCUGUGGUUCGUUUUCCAGUCCAGUACCCCUCAGUUUAAGGGAAUUGGUGAACUAAAGAAGUUAGCUGAAUUGGGCAAGAGUUUAAGGGAAG